rnacentral:rRNA from 1 species
AGUGAACGCUGGCGGUAGGCCUAACACAUGCAAGUCGAACGGCAGCACAGUAAGAGCUUGCUCUUACGGGUGGCGAGUGGCGGACGGGUGAGGAAUACAUCGGAAUCUACUUUUUCGUGGGGGAUAACGUAGGGAAACUUACGCUAAUACCGCAUACGACCUACGGGUGAAAGCAGGGGAUCUUCGGACCUUGCGCGAUUGAAUGAGCCGAUGUCGGAUUAGCUAGUUGGCGGGGGAAAGGCCCACCAAGGCGACGAUACGUAGCUGGUCUGAGAGGAUGAUCAGCCACACUGGAGCUGGAACACGGUCCAGACUCCUACGGGAGGCAGCAGUGGGGAAUAUUGGACAAUGGGCGCAAGCCUGAUCCAGCCAUACCGCGUGGGUGAAGAAGGCCUUCGGGUUGUAAAGCCCUUUUGUUGGGAAAGAAGAGCAGCAGGUUAAUACCCCGCUGUUCUGACGGUACCCAAAGAAUAAGCACCGGCUAACUUCGUG